rnacentral:rRNA from 1 species
AUUGAACGCUGGCGGAAUGCUUUACACAUGCAAGUCGAACGGCAGCACGGACUUCGGUCUGGUGGCGAGUGGCGAACGGGUGAGUAAUACAUCGGAACGUGCCCAGUCGUGGGGGAUAACGUAGCGAAAGCUACGCUAAUACCGCAUACGAUCUAAGGAUGAAAGCGGGGGAUCGCAAGACCUCGCGCGAUUGGAGCGGCCGAUGGCAGAUUAGGUAGUUGGUAGGGUAAAGGCCUACCAAGCCGACGAUCUGUAGCUGGUCUGAGAGGAUGAUCAGCCACACUGGGACUGAGACACGGCCCAGACUCCUACGGGAGGCAGCAGUGGGGAAUUUUGGACAAUGAGCGCAAGCCUGAUCCAGCCAUUCCGCGUGCAGGAUGAAGGCCUUCGGGUUGUAAACUGCUUUUGUACAGAACGAAAAGGCUCUGGUUAAUACCCGGGGCUCAUGACGGUACUGUAAGAAUAAGCACCGGCUAACUCUGUGCCAGCCGCCGCGGUAA